AGAGUUUGAUCCUGGCUCAGGAUGAACGCUGGCGGUCUGCUUAACACAUGCAAGUCGANCGGGAUCCUUCGGGAUUUAGUGGCGGACGGGUGAGUAACGCGUGAGAAUCUGCCCUUAGGUUGGGGACAACAGUUGGAAACGACUGCUAAUACCCAAUGUGCCGAGAGGUGAAAGGUUAACUGCCUGGGGAUGAGCUCGCGUCUGAUUAGCUAGUUGGAGUGGUAACGGCACACCAAGGCGACGAUCAGUAGCUGGUCUGAGAGGAUGAUCAGCCACACUGGGACUGAGACACGGCCCAGACUCCUACGGGAGGCAGCAGUGGGGAAUUUUCCGCAAUGGGCGAAAGCCUGACGGAGCAAGACCGCGUGAGGGAGGAAGGCCUAUUGGUUGUAAACCUCUUUUGAUAGGGAAGAACACAAUGACGGUACCUAUCGAAUCAGCAUCGGCUAACUCCGUGCCAGCAGCCGCGGUAAUACGGAGGAUGCAAGCGUUAUCCGGAUUUAUUGGGCGUAAAGCGUCCGUAGGUGGCAAACCAAGUCAGUUGUUAAAGCGUAGAGCUUAACUCUAUAAGGGCAAUUGAAACUGGUUAGCUAGAGUGCGAUAGGGGCAAGGGGAAUUCCCAGUGUAGCGGUGAAAUGCGUAGAUAUUGGGAAGAACAUCGGUGGCGAAGGCGCCUUGCUGGGACUGCACUGACACUGAGGGACGAAAGCUAGGGGAGCGAAAGGGAUUAGAUACCCCUGUAGUCCUAGCCGUAAA
rnacentral:rRNA from 1 species